AUUGAACGCUGGCGGUAGGCCUAACACAUGCAAGUCGAACGAGUGGCGGACGGGUGAGUAAUGUCUGGGAAACUGCCCGAUGGAGGGGGAUAACUACUGGAAACGGUAGCUAAUACCGCAUACCAUCGGAUGUGCCCAGAUGGGAUUAGCUAGUAGUCGGGGUAACGGCUCACCUAGGCGACGAUCCCUAGCUGGUCUGAGAGGAUGACCAGGCACACUGGAACUGAGACACGGUCCAGACUACAAGGGGAGGCAACAGUGGGGAAUAGUGCACAAUGGGCGCAAGCCUAAUGCAGCCAUGCCGCGUGUAUGAAGAAGGCCUUCGGGUUGUAAAGUACUUUCAGCGAGGAGGCGUUGCUCGCAGAAGAAGCAUCGGCUAAGUCCGAGCCAGCAGCCGCGGUAAUUC
rnacentral:rRNA from 1 species